GAUGAACGCUGGCGGCGUGCCUAAUACAUGCCAGUCGAGCGAACGGACGAGAAGCUUGCUUCUCUGAUGUUAGCGGCGGACGGGUGAGUAACACGUGGAUACCCUACCUAUAAGACUGGGAUAACUUCGGGAAACCGUAGCUAAUACCGGAUAAUAUUUUGAACCGCAUGGUUCAAAAGUGAAAGACGGUCUUGCUGUCACUUAUAGAUGGAUCCGCGCUGCAUUAGCUAGUUGGUAAGGUAACGGCUUACCAAGGCAACGAUGCAUAGCCGACCUGAGAGGGUGAUCGGCCACACUGGAACUGAGACACGGUCCAGACUCCUACGGGAGGCAGCAGUAGGGAAUCUUCCGCAAUGGGCGAAAGCCUGACGGAGCAACGCCGCGUGAGUGAUGAAGGUCUUCGGAGCGUAAAACUCUGUUAUUAGGGAAGAACAUAUGUGUAAGUAACUGUGCACAUCUUGACGGUACCUAAUCAGAAAGCCACGGCUAACUACGUG
rnacentral:rRNA from 1 species